CCUACGGGAGGCAGCAGUGAGGAAUAUUGGUCAAUGGACGAGAGUCUGAACCAGCCAAGUAGCGUGAAGGAUGACUGCCCUAUGGGUUGUAAACUUCUUUUAUAUGGGAAUAAAAUGUUCCACGUGUGGGAGUUUGUAUGUACCAUAUGAAUAAGGAUCGGCUAACUCCGUGCCAGCAGCCGCGGUAAUACGGAGGAUCCGAGCGUUAUCCGGAUUUCGUGGGUUUAAAGGGAGCGUAGGUGGAUUGUUAAGUUAGUUGUUAAAGUUUGCGGCUCAACCGUAAAAUUGCCGUUGAAACUGGCAGUCUUGAGUACAGUAGCGGUAGGCGGAAUUCAUGGUGUAGCGGUGAAAUGCUUAGAUAUCACGAAGAACUCCGAUUGCGAAGGCAGCUUACUGGACUGCAACUGACACUGAGGCACGAAAGUGUGGGUAUCAAACAGGAUUAGAUACCCGUGUAGUC
rnacentral:rRNA from 1 species